CACAAGAAAGGGGUCGGUGACCCAUCUGCUAAACAAUCACCUCUUUAUCUUCAAGCUCUAUCUCCUUGGUCUUCUCUCUUGGAAAUCAAAGGCAAGGGCGGAGGGCGACACGGUGAGGGUUGUGCUACUUCGCUCCUUAUCAUGCUCCUUGUCCUACAGGUGCCAUCUCUCCACACCACGCUCCUUGUCCUGCCUCUUCUCCUCCAACCUCCGCAGGUCCAAGAGGUCACAACAGUUCUUCCCCUACACUGUGUCAGCUCUCCACUUUGGCGGAAGCACCCCACGUCGCUGCUACGCUUGAGGCGAGGCUUUCCUAUAACUUCCAUCCACACAGUCUCCACCUCCCUCGUCGAGAGAGGUAUGGAUAAGAGGAACGAAGCAUGGUUGAUUCGCCUAGGGCGUUUCUCUCCUUCUUUCUCAUGCCGAUUUUAAAGAAUUGAUUUUGAUUUUAGUUUUACAUUGCAGGAACCCUUUUGUUAUUUUUCUUGAUGCAAGUUGAAUUUUUGCUUGAUUUUUCUAGCAGAUUUCUUUUGUUUCUAGAGAUUGAUUCAUCAAUGCUUUGAACAUUUUUUCCUUUUGGUUAAUAGUACAUCUUAUGUUUACCUAAUAUGUUGAUCUUGACUUUUCUUCACUAGUUGGUUGUAGACUCCAUUUGAUUUCCAUCAAUUAGGUUGAUGGCGUAUGAUGGAUCAAGUUAAAUUAGAAAAUUGAACAUCAAUAUUAGAUAGUGCAUUAGAGGUGCAUAUUCACUUGUCUAUGGAAACUGUAGUUGUAAAAAGGAUUAGAAAUGCUAUAUACUUUAUUUAUCACUACUGAUUUAAGGCUCUGUUUAUUUAUGCUAUCUACUUCAAUUUCUCUCUUUGCUAGCUCUGGAUUUUUCUUCUGUCUCCUUGUUAUUUUAUCAUAUGGCCAAUUAUGUCUUGUGCUCUACUUAUCUUCAAUUAUUGGAUCUUAUAUUGAGCUUGCUUUUUACUCAAUUAGAUAUUCAUACUACUUUAUUUAGUAGAGUUUCCUGACAUGUCCAUUUUGCCAACAAAAAAAAAUAUGUUAAGAUGAGUAUUUUGGUGGUUGAUUUGAUAUUAUGACUCUUCAUGAAUAUCUACAGCAAAUGGUUCUUUCACCUUGAAUAUUUUAAGGUGUGAUUAAUCAUUUUCUUUGUUUUUGCCCUUUUCAACCUGUCCAGUCUUAUAAUAAACUUGUAGUAAGGCUAACGUCUUUUUCCUUAAGCUUUGCCCUUGCAUUGAAAAUUAUUGCAUUUUAAUUUAUAUAUCAUGCGAAGGGAAUAGGUAUAUAUAUUUUCAUGAAAGCGUUUAUCUUAUGAUGCGUUUAGUUGAACAAAAGUGAAAGAGAAAAACAUAAUUUGCUGCUUUUCAAUUUAAUUACAUUUCUUCUCUCCUAAUUCCUCUGUUUCAAGUCAACACAAUAUUAAAGGAAUUUCAUUUGACUCAUGAUUCCUUUUCAUGAUAUCUAAAUAAUACACUGAUCUUGCAGGUAUCUUUUUGAACAAAAGUCUAUUACCCAAAUAUUAACAACAACAACAUCUGCCUUGACAUUCUAUUAUUACUACUAAACAUGUAUAUCAAACCAAAUGUUAUUUAUGCAUGUCGAGAAAUACCUAUAUGACAUUCAAAUACCUAGAUUUGUAAUUGGGGAUUGAUGAAUUUAACUAUUUCUUUUCAAAUUUUAACUCUAGGUUCGAGAAAGAGGUCACCAUAGAAUUAUUCUAAGGUUAUAGAUAUAUUAGGAAAAUGACCUCUUCUAGUUGCAUGGUUGGUAUGCUUUCUAGUGUCAUGACUAUGCAUGAUGAUUCAUUAGUGGUUUAUCUAACAACUUUAUUUUCAUACUUUUAUUAAUAUUUUCAGAACUACUAUUUCUAAGGUCAUAAAUCUUAAUACAUCCUGAUUAAUUUAUUAUUAUUUGAUUGAAGCAAAAUCUCAAACCAAGUUAUUAACAUUAUACUUUUUAUAUUUCAGUUUGCAGUUUACAUGAGGUAUGUUGUCUUAAAUACUAUAUUUGUUCACAUGCUAUGCUUUGUUCACAAUAUUUGUUCACAUGCUUUUGUUUUGAUUUACAUGGGGUAUAUUUAGAUUUACCAUUAUUUUGUCAUUACCUUAUAAUUACCUUGUAGUUACCUUUACAAAUACUUGAAGAAAGAAAAUAGAGCCGAGUAUGUUUCAUUUGUAGAUUUUGGUCAUAUACCUACAUAUGGUGUGAGCAAAGAAGACAAUAAAUUGUCACAACAUAUUGCUGCUCAGUUUGGAGCAUCAAACAGAGAUAAUAUCUGCUUCAUCCGAUACAACACUGGGUAAUAUUUUAAUUUUUUAUCAAUUCUUACUACAUAUUAGUCAAUGAUAUAUUUUCAUUUGUGUAGGUAUCAUUGGAUCUAGAUUCUUUUUGUUUUCUUUUGUUUCGACUUUGAGUUUUUUUUAGUCUUUCUGAAUUGGUAUAAUUACCUCUUUAGAAAAUUUUCCCGUUGUAAUUUCUUUGAAUUGCUCAAACUGGUGCAAUAUAAAUCAAGUUUUCUUAUCUUUAUCAUUUCCCACACUACUAAUCCAAGACCUAGUUUUGGGAUUUCUUUUGUUGCUUAUUUUUUGUGUGCAAGAUUCUAAUGGCCCAAAGCGAAGGCUUCAGCACCGCGCAUCCUCCACUCUUCACCAGGGAUGACUUCCCGUAUUAGAAGAGGAGAAUAGAGGUGUACCUCAAGAUGGACAUCGAUAAGUGGUUCUCAAUCUAACGUGGGUACCAGGCAUCGGUUGACGAAGCAACCAAAGAACCUAUUGAUUUGGACUAAAGCACUAAACACCCUCCAGUGCAGACUGACAAAGGAGGAACUCAACCGGGUUGACCUAUUUGAAAAUGCAAAGGAGCUAUUGGACAAGCUAAUCAAACAGCACGAGGGCACCAGUGACACGAAGGAUCAAAGGCAUCCUCAACGGGUUGCACCUCAUCUGCCAUGAGUUUCAAAACUGGGAUGUCAUAAGAUGAAUUAUUUUGUGAACUAGAACUGCAUGAAGAAAUUAACACCCAAAGGACCGAGAAAGGUGUAGUUUUCCUUGUAAAUUCUACAAAGCAUACAAAGAACAAGACCAAGCAAAAGGCAGAAUUUGAAUCUAACUCAGACUCAGAUGCAAAAGAGCAACUGGUGAACAUGAUAAGGAGAAUGUUCACCAAGAAGAAGAAGGAUUUCAGCACAAGGACCUUGAUAACCAUGAUUUUACUACAUUAUUUUAAUUCAUAAUCCAUGUUUUUAAUGGUUUAUUCAUAGCUUAAACUCAUGUUUAC